rnacentral:rRNA from 1 species
GUGGGGAAUCUUCCGCAAUGGACGAAAGUCUGACGGAGCAACGCCGCGUGAGUGAAGAAGGUUUUCGGAUCGUAAAGCUCUUUCGUUAGGGACGAACGUGCUCUUUGUGAAUAAUGAGGAGUAAUGACGGUACCUAAAUAAGAAGCCACGGCUAACUACGUGCCAGCAGCCGCGGUAAUACGUAGGUGGCAAGCGUUGUCCGGAAUUAUUGGGCGUAAAGCGCGCGCAGGCGGGAUAUCAAGUCUGUCUUAAAAGUGCGAGGCUCAACCUCGUGGAGGGACAGAAACUGGUAUUCUUGAGUGUCGGAGAGGAAAGUGGAAUUCCAAGUGUAGCGGUGAAAUGCGUAGAGAUUUGGAAGAACACCAGUGGCGAAGGCGACUUUCUGGACGAUGUCUGACGCUGAGGCGCGAAAGCUAGGGGAGCGAACGGGAUUAGAUACCCGGGUAGUCC